GACAGAGGCCUCAAGCGUUAGGCGGAAUCACUGGGCUUAAAGCGUGUGUAGGCGGAUCGUUAAGUGUCUUGUGAAAUCCCACGGCUCACCCGUGGAACGGCUGGGCAUACUGGCGAUCUUGGGCCAACUAGGGGCAACUGGAACAAGCGGUGGAGCGGUGAAAUGCGUAGAUAUCGCUUGGAACGCCGAAGGUGAAAACAGGUUGCUGGGGUUGUGCCGACGCUGAGACACGAAAGCCAGGGGAGCAAACAGG
rnacentral:rRNA from 1 species